rnacentral:rRNA from 1 species
CCCUUAGAUGUUCUGGGCCGCACGCGCGCUACACUGAUGAAUUCAACGAGCUCCUAUCCUAGGCCGAAGGGUCCGGGUAAUCUUUGAAAUUUCAUCGUGAUGGGGAUAGAUUAUUGCAAUUAUUAAUCUUCAACGAGGAAUUCCUAGUAAGCGCGAGUCAUCAGCUCGCGUUGAUUACGUCCCUGCCCUUUGUACACACCGCCCGUCGCUCCUACCGAUUGAAUGGUCCGGUGAAAUGUUCGGACCGCGACAAGGCGGACGGUUCGCUGUCAGCUUUGCUGCGGGAAGUUCAUUAAACCUUAUCAUUUAGAGGAAGGAGAAGUCGUAACA